GUUAAGAUGGCAGAGACCGGUAAUUGCGUAAACUUUAAGCCUUUACUAUCAGAGGUUCAAUUCCUCUUCUUAACA
rnacentral:tRNA from 1 species